UUGAAUGGCAGAAACAGAAAGUGUCGU
rnacentral:piRNA from 1 species